rnacentral:rRNA from 1 species
AUUGAACGCUGGCGGCAGGCCUAACACAUGCAAGUCGAGCGGAUGAAGGGAGCUUGCUCCUGGAUUCAGCGGCGGACGGGUGAGUAAUGCCUAGGAAUCUGCCUGGUAGUGGGGGAUAACGUCCGGAAACGGGCGCUAAUACCGCAUACGUCCUGAGGGAGAAAGUGGGGGAUCUUCGGACCUCACGCUAUCAGAUGAGCCUAGGUCGGAUUAGCUAGUUGGUGGGGUAAAGGCCUACCAAGGCGACGAUCCGUAACUGGUCUGAGAGGAUGAUCAGUCACACUGGAACUGAGACACGGUCCAGACUCCUACGGGAGGCAGCAGUGGGGAAUAUUGGACAAUGGGCGAAAGCCUGAUCCAGCCAUGCCGCGUGUGUGAAGAAGGUCUUCGGAUUGUAAAGCACUUUAAGUUGGGAGGAAGGGCCGUAAGUUAAUACCUUGCUGUUUUGACGUUACCAACAGAAUAAGCACCGGCUAACUUCGUG